CGGCUGGGGGCUUUAUUAGGGGGCACCGGGGUCUGCUUUCCGACUCCCUUCCGACUCCGCGCCUGCGCAGGAAGCGAUUUGGGGAGUGUUGUGAAUUCCGAGGGCUCCACACUUAAGAGGUUGUACACUCACCUGUCUACCUGGACUCCAAUUUCCAUAUUUCCAGCCACUUGAGGACUGAGAGGUGGAUGAUAAACCCUGUCAUAGUGGAGCAAGUUCAGGUGUUUAACCGCUGUUAUGGGGGAUCUGCCUUUUCUCCCUCUUCUUUCUUACUUCCAUAAGUAUGUAUGUGCAGAGAUUGAAAAAUAACCUUGAGAGAGUCCAUCCAUCUAACUCCAGUUCAUUGGAAAUUUCUGCUUCUUUGAGACUGAGGUUAUAUUCCACUUCUUCUGACUACACCACCACCAUCAAUCUCCUUCUCUGAACUCUUGGAUCAUUACUUCAACCUGAAACAACUCAUCAGGCAGAAUAGUUGCCUACUGCCCCAACCCCACCAAAUGUUCCAGCACCUCUGAUAUUACCUCACAUGGCAAGAGGGCUUUGAAGAUGUGAUUGAGUCAAGGAUCUUGAAUGGGGAGAUUAUCCUGAAUUAUUCAGCUGGACCCAGUGUAAUCACAAAGGUUUUUCAAAGAUGGAAGAGAGGCAGAAGAGCCAGAAAAGGAUAUGUGACAAUGGAGUCAGUGUCAGAGUUGGAGUGACGUGAUGUGAGAAGGAUUCAACCUGCUGUUUCUGGCUUUGAGGAUGAAAGAAGGGGCCAUGAGCCAAGCAAUACAGGUGGCUUCUUUCAAGAAGUUGGAAAAGUGGUAAUAUUUUAUGUUAUUUUGGUUUGAUUUUUGUUUGUGGCAUAUGGCUCUGCUGUCCUGUGACUCUAAGUAGAAGAGAAAAUAGUGCCAAUAAUUCUUCAUGGAGAUGCACCUCUCUCAAGUCUUGAACAAUGUUUGAGGAAACAUUGCAGCGUUAUAAGAGAAAUUAUAGACUAUUUGUUGAAGCUCAGCAUGUCCAUCUCCCUGCUUUGAAGAAGGAUGUUGGGAACUGACUGUAAGGAAGACAGGAUUGGAGAACCAGGUUUAGAAGAGAAAAGGCAGUGCCAGAAGUUUUUGAUUGGAGAAAACUACAGGGUAAUGUUGCACAAGAACCAUUGCUGGACUGCAUCAUUGCUUACCCAACAUGACUCAGCCUCGGUAUUGCCACUGACUCACGGAGCUCCUAAUAGAGGAGAAUUAGUGUCACAGAUCGACUGGAAAACCAAUCCACAUGAAGCCAGGAAGAGAAAUGAAGCUGCUGUUGCUGAAUCCAUAGCUGGCCUUAAUGAUGCUGGCUAGGAAAGACGGCCCAUUCUGGGGGAGAUAAGUCAAUUUUGCAGUGUCUGUUAUUAUCAUAGUGACUAUUGUCUUCCUGUUUUAUAUUUAUUUACCUAAAUUGUUUUGGAAAGACUCAGAGGUAUAGAGACAUGCCUACUUUUUGCAAAAAUCAUCACACUGUCAUGGAGGUAGUCCAGGCUAUGGGGCUCUUAUUUGUUGGUGUCUUGGGCAAGUUGCUUGACCUCUGAUCAUUGUUUGCUUAUUCUUAUAUGGCCCCUGUAUUUCAGACUCACUCUGUGUCAGGCAUUUGUUUACCUUUGUAGCAAGCUCAGGAGGAAAAUACCAUUGCCCUUGUUUUACAGGUGAUGAAACUGUACGUUUUCCAAGGACACAGUGCUAGUAAGUAAUGAAUGUGAAAUUUUAACUGUUUCAAUCUCUUCUCAGAGCCAGUGCUAACUACUCUCCUAAACUUCCUCUCAUCUGUAAAAUAUGGAUGAUAAUAACACCUCUUACAGAGUUGUUGUACAUAUUAAAUAAUAGAACUGUGAAA
ensembl:lncRNA PARAIL palmitic acid regulated anti-inflammatory lncRNA